UCUGGGAUUAGAUACCCUGUUAUUUAAAAUAUAAAUUAUUUAUUUAGGUAGUAAUAGUUAUGUUCUUGAAACUUAAAAAAUUUGGCGGUAUUUUAGUCUAUUCAGAGGAACCUGUUCUGUAAUUGAUAUUCCACGUUGGACCUUACUUAAAUUUGUAAUUCAAUUUAUAUACCGUUGUUAUUUAAAUAUUUUUUAGAAUAAUAAUAUUUAAUUAUUUUUAUAAAAAUUUAUAUCAAAUCAAGGUGUAGUUUAUGUUUAAGUAGAAAUGGGUUACAAUAAAAUUAUUUAUGGAUAUAAAGAUGAAAAGUUUAUUGAAAAUGGAUUUGAUUGUAAAAUUAUAAAGAUUAAUAAUUUGAUUUUAGCUCUAAAAUAUGUACAAAUCGCCC
rnacentral:rRNA from 1 species